rnacentral:rRNA from 1 species
UGGGGAAUAUUGGACAAUGGGCGCAAGCCUGAUCCAGCAAUGCCGCGUGGGUGAAGAAGGCCCUCGGGUUGUAAAGCCCUUUUGUACGGGAAGAAAUCCUGUCGGUUAAUACCCGGCGUGGAUGACGGUACCGUAAGAAGAAGCACCGGCGAACUACGUGCCAGCAGCCGCGGUAAUACGUAGGGUGCGAGCGUUAAUCGGAAUUACUGGGCGUAAAGUGUGCGCAGGCGGCCUCGCAAGUCGAGUGUGAAAUCCCCGGGCUUAACUUGGGAAUUGCGCUCGAAACUACGGGGCUGGAGUGUGGCAGAGGGGGGUGGAAUUCCACGUGUAGCGGAGAAAUGCGUAGAGAUGUGGAGGAACACCAAUGGCGAAGGCAGCCCCCUGGGCCAACACUGACGCUCAUGCACGAAAGCGUGGGGAGCAAA